rnacentral:lncRNA from 1 species
UACUGGCAUAGUAUAGAGCACUCUAUAACAUACUUAAAAUAGUCAUAAUUGGGUAGUAUUGUUUUUAUAUUUGUCUGUGAGCUAGAGAUUUGAACACACAGCCUUGUCCACAGUAGAUAAGCACCUGACCACUGACCUGCAUUCCUGCCAUCUUGGAUUUGAAGGGUGUUCUUGUAAAAAAUCUGGCAAUGCAGCAGCCAAGAACUGUGAGAUAGCUCUCUCUACAAGGAAGGCAAAGGAAUGGAAUGGAAUUAUCUGAAAUCGGCGGCGGGACAGACGGCUGGGUGUGCAGCGACCUCGAACCCGUGAGCCAGAAAG